CGGCGGUAUCUUAACCGCGCAAAGGUAGCAUAAUCAAUUGUCCCUUAAAUUAGGACUAGUAUGAAUGGCACCACGAGAGUUUAACUGUCUCCCCCACUUAAUCAAUGAAAUUUAUCUUCCCGUGAAGAAGCGGGAAUACUAAUAUAAGACGAGAAGACCCUAUGGAGCUUUAAACUAAUUACCACUUAUUUUGUAAAAUAACAAACUAUUUAAUAUUAAUGUUCUUUAUAGUUUUUGGUUGGGGCGACCCUGGAGAAAAAAAAAUCCUCCAGAUUGAAAGGAGGUAAUCCUUAUACAAGAAUUACAAUUCAAAUAAACAAAACUUUGACAAAACUGACCCAGAAUCAACUGAUCAGUGAACCAAGUUACCCUAGGGAUAACAGCGCAAUCCAUUUUAAGAGCCCAUAUCGACAAAUGGGUUUACGACCUCGAUGUUGGAUCGGGGUAUCCCAGCAGCGCAGCGGCUGCUAAUGGUUCGUUUGUUCAACGACUAACACCCCACGUGAUCU
rnacentral:rRNA from 1 species